rnacentral:rRNA from 1 species
AUUGAACGCUGGCGGCAGGCCUAACACAUGCAAGUCGAGCGGAUGAAGGGAGCUUGCUCCUGGAUUCAGCGGCGGACGGGUGAGUAAUGCCUAGGAAUCUGCCUGGUAGUGGGGGAUAACGUCCGGAAACGGGCGCUAAUACCGCAUACGUCCUGAGGGAGUACGUGGGGGAUCUUCGGACCUCACGCUCUCAGAUGAGCCUAGGUCGGAUUAGCUAGUUGGUGGGGUAAAGGCCUACCAAGGCGACGAUCCGUAACUGGUCUGAGAGGAUGAUCAGUCACACUGGAACUGAGACACGGUCCAGACUCCUACGGGAGGCAGCAGUGGGGAAUAUUGGACAAUGGGCGAAAGCCUGAUCCAGCCAUGCCGCGUGUGUGAAGAAGGUCUUCGGAUUGUAAAGCACUUUAAGUUGGGAGGAAGAGCAGUAAGUUAAUACCUUGCUGUUUUGACGUUACCAACAGAAUAAGCACCGGCUAACUUCGUG